UAGAUUAUGGCUGAACGCCUCUAAGUCAGAAUCUGUACUAGAAACGAUGAUGUUGGUCCCGCACGUGUUAGUUGUGUCAAAAUAGGCUUCGGCUGUGAACCAUAUCUGGGCUGGGUUGCUCAAGCGGAAAGGCUUGGGUUGCUUGCUCUGAAUAGAAAUGAAAUAUGCGCGGGGGUGAAUCCUUUGCAGACGACUUGAA
rnacentral:rRNA from 1 species